CAGGGUCUGUUCUGUGUCCUGGAGGUGGACCUCAUCUGGAGAGUGUUGCCUGGACUCCCCGGCUGUCUGGUGGACUCAGUGGGUAGAGAGAGCUGGAGUGGGAGGAGAGUCGGCUUUGGAAGGAAUGAGUACCUAGAUGUUUGUGAAAACAAUGGGAAUGAGUGAUAUCUUGUAAGAAGAGGAUGUAAAAGUGGAGGAGGUGGACACGGGCAGCAUCCUAGAUGACGUGCACAGUUAAGGUGGGGGUGCUGGAGGAUGGUCCGGCGCCGGGUCAUGAGCAGUCAGAGAAGCAGAAGACCCGGGAGGGGCCUGUGCCUUGCAAAGGACAGAAGACAGGAGAGAUUUCUUUAUUGAGUCUAAGAGGCAUGGAAACAGACCUGCUGUCAAUCCACAGAUACACAUAACAUGAGGAGCAAAUAAACCAAGCAGCAGCUGAG